CUACGUAGGGUGCGAGCGUUGUCCGGAAUUACUGGGCGUAAAGAGCUCGUAGGUGGUUUGUCGCGUCGUCUGUGAAAUUCCGGGGCUUAACUCCGGGCGUGCAGGCGAUACGGGCAUAACUUGAGUACUGUAGGGGAGACUGGAAUUCCUGGUGUAGCGGUGAAAUGCGCAGAUAUCAGGAGGAACACCGGUGGCGAAGGCGGGUCUCUGGGCAGUAACUGACGCUGAGGAGCGAAAGCAUGGGUAGCGAACAGGAUUAGAUACCCUGGUAGUCCAUGCCGUAAACGGUGGGCGCUAGGUGUAGGGAUCUUCCACGACUUCUGUGCCGUAGCUAACGCAUUAAGCGCCCCGCCUGGGGAGUACGGCCGCAAGGCUAAAACUUAAAGGAAUUGACGGGG
rnacentral:rRNA from 1 species